UUCGCUGUGUGGAUACUAUAGUACACAGGGAACAAAAAGUGCUCUGCAUAAGUUGGAUAUCCAACUACAGUUAAUCGAACCAAACCUGCGUAUUGUUAUUUUCCUGUGAUGUAGAUCUUAAACACCCGCCAGUGAAACAUGUGAACGACUCUGAAGAAGUUUGCUGCUGCACGUGAAUUUGUUGCUGCGUAUUUUAAGAUGUAGUGCAUGUAAAUCAAAGCCAACUGU